rnacentral:rRNA from 1 species
UACCUGCGCCACAAGUGGCAAUCACUAUUAUUGGGCCUAAAGCGUUCGUAGCCGGAUCGGUAAGUCUUGGGUGAAAUCGUUGCGCUUAACAAAACGGCGUGCUUGAGAAACUACCAGUCUAGGGACCGGGAAGCGUCAAGGGUAUUCCUGAGGGAGCGGUAAAAUGCUAUAAUCUCAGGAGGACCACCUGUGGCGAAGGCGCUUGACGAGAACGGGUUCGACGGUGAGGAACGAAAGCUAGGGGAGCAAACCGG